UACAGAGGUCUCAAGCGUUGUUCGGAUUCAUUGGGCGUAAAGGGUGCGUAGGCGGCGCGGUAAGUCGGGUGUGAAAUCUCGGGGCUUAACUCCGAAACUGCAUUCGAUACUGCCGUGCUUGAGGACUGGAGAGGAGACUGGAAUUUACGGUGUAGCGGUGAAAUGCGUAGAUAUCGUAAGGAAGACCAGUGGCGAAGGCGGGUCUCUGGACAGUUCCUGACGCUAAGGCACGAAGGUCAGGGGAGCAAACGGG
rnacentral:rRNA from 1 species